rnacentral:rRNA from 1 species
GACGAACGCUGGCGGCGUGCUUAACACAUGCCAGUCGUACGGUAAGGCCCUUUCGGGGGUACACGAGUGGCGAACGGGUGAGUAACACGUGAGUAACCUGCCCACAACUUUGGGAUAACGCUAGGAAACUGGUGCUAAUACUGGAUAUGUGCUCCUGCUGCAUGGUGGGGGUUGGAAAGCUCCGGCGGUUGUGGAUGGACUCGCGGCCUAUCAGCUUGUUGGUGGGGUAGUGGCCUACCAAGGCGGCGACGGGCAGCCGGCCUGAGAGGGUGACCGGCCACAUUGGGACUGAGAUACGGCCCAGACUCCUACGGGAGGCAGCAGUGGGGAAUAUUGCACAAUGGGCGCAAGCCUGAUGCAGCAACGCCGCGUGCGGGAUGACGGCCUUCGGGUUGUAAACCGCUUUCAGCAGGGACGAAGCUUUUUGUGACGGUACCUGCAGAAGAAGCACCGGCUAACUACGUG